UGAUUUAUGGGGGUGUAGAGUGAGUUCCCUUCCCACGAGAGAAAAUUGCUGCAGUCCAAAUGAACAGCAAGUGUAGAAUCAUGUUUGUUUAUAUGAUAAUGAUGGCGGCAACAGUUUCAGGAGGCUCACUUAGCAACAUUAUUGGAAGCAUCAACAGAUUCCUACUUGCAGAAGGUGGUGAAGGUGAAUAGAAAGCUAUUAUUGUAGAUCAAGAGAUGGUCAAACAUUUAGAAGUCAGACCAGAAGAUAAGCAUAUAAAUGGGGAUCCAAAAAUCCAAUUCACAACCAGCCGUUAAUCCAACGCAAGCAAGAACUGCAUUCAAGAAACUUACAGGGUUUAUAACAUCGAUCCAAUCUUUAGACAGCGACUCCACAAAUUCUCCUCCUAUGAGAUUCCGGACCUUCGGCUGCAAAUUACUCAUCAAGUCAAUCCUUGAAUUCAGAAAAGACGAGAUGUGUCGCCGAUAGAAUCAAAGGCAUUGAUUAGAACAAGGAUGGAAUUACCCGAUGAGCAGUGGAGCAACGGACCCCGAGGACGGGGGCAGGAGACCGCCGUGGCGCAGAGGAAGGAGAGGACAGAAUGCGUCAGAUAGAAGGGCGGGGAGGAGAGAGAUCGGUGAUCAAUGGAGUAUGGAAUUAGGGUUUCGGGGAGAGGGGAAGAGAAGAGGAUCGGGGGGUUAUUACCACCCGCGAAGAGGAGCGCAACAUACUCGACGAGAGCCGACGACGAAGAGUGCCGAGUGGAGGCGCCAUUUAUCUACAUAAAGCGUCAGCUACCUGUUUAAGCGCACGCGACAACCUACCUACCUACCUACCUUAAUGAUGUCAUCUCCACGGGGACCCGACGACCUACCAUAAGCAUUCACGAGGCUUCUGGCUAAACGAACGGCUAAUUAUAUAUUAACGUUUGUAGUUUUAAUAUUUCGAUCUAUAGAUUUAAAAAAAUUAUAUUAGAAUCUCUAUAAUUAUAAAAAUAAAAUAUAUUAUCCUAAUAUUAUCAAUUUUAUCGAUAAAAAUAUAAAAACGAUGAGCAAAAAUAUAAUUUUAAUAUACUAAUUAUAUUUUUGAUGAUGAUGAAUAACGAUGUUAUUAGGGGUCGUGAGUGGCUAUUGUGGAUAAGAAGAAAGAGCGGUGAUAAGAGGUGAGGUGACGACGCAGAUGUCAAUAUCACUUGCAAUUGCUUGGGGCCAAUGCAGAUGCAGAUAAUGCGAAAGGGUCACUCAACAUGUGCAUCGACGCUACGAAGAUGUAGUGCAAUGUCAACGUAGAUGUAAAGUGACACUAACACAUAUGCAUAUAUAAAGUGACAUCACUCAGUAUAUAUAUCAGCACCAAUAUAAAUGCAGAGUGACAAAAGGGUCAUUCAAUAUUUACAUCGACGUUAACGUAGAUAUAGAGUAGCAUUGUCAUUCCCUGCAUUAUUGUUGACUCUGAUACAGAUACAGAUCAUCGGGAUUUAUGUCAUCGUCGACCUCCAUAAAAAAAUAUUUUUAUGCUUUCGUCGAUAAAACCAAUGAUACUAGGAUACAUAGAGCUAAGUGUUUCACUUUGGAUUCAAAUAUAAAUUUUUGAAGUGUAAAGAUCGGGAUGUUAAAGAAGUUUAACUAUAAAGAAUAAUAUAUAAUUAGCCCCUUAGCAAGCGACAACCAUCAAACUAUGUGUUAUUGUUUCUUUACACAUAUUGAUCUUUCAAGGGCGCACUAAGACAGUUAGGCGAUGGGAUUUUCAACUUCUAAGGCAUUCGUGUCCAAAGUUAUACUUUGGACAUCUACAUCGUAAAUAUAUUUAAAUUCACAAAGACAUUAAUCUGUCAAAAAAAAAAAAACAAAGUUUCUUAGUCAAGAGUAAUUAUCUAUCAUCGACAAUUUAGUCGAAUAAACAUUUGAAUAGACUUAUCAAAGUAAAUAAUUUGAAUCAAUAAUUUAAGCUUUACAAUCAAUACUAUAGACUUUACAAUAACAACAUGGUUUUAAAAAAUAAUAAAAACAAUCAAUAAAAAAAAUAAGACAACAUGGUUCUGUUCAUUCUCAAGUGGCAGAUUACUCCCUCAACUCAAAAUCAUAUACAGCUUCAGAUACUUGAUCUGGCUACUCACUGCAUCGGAAGACAAUAGGACUCGUUGUCAUAGGUAUACUCGUAUGCGAGAUCUUGAGCUCGACGCUUAAAUUCUUGCAUGUUCUCCUUUGGCACUUGGAUGCCUACUAAGACAUUUGCACCAGUCUCACCCUAUCAAAAAUCAGACAAUAAGGAUACACAAUUAAGUCACCGUAUUUGAUGAGCUUCUUAUGGAACUCCAAGAAACCUCCAUCACUGGAGGUGAAACUGUUUAAUCAUCUUUCGUCACAUCUUCUGUUCGUUUUGUGAGUUUAGCAGAAUGAAUCUUGUACAGGUUAUUGUUCACUUUUUGCCUCAAAAAAAUAAAAAGAACAUGCCAUUGCAUUCUUCCAUAUAUAAGGUUUUCAUUGUGGUGUAUCCAAGGUACUGGUAACAAAUAAGUAAUAAUCUCACGAUCAGCAUAAAGUAGAAGAGGAUAAGUACCAAACCUGUGCUCGAUAAUGGAACAAGCUGAUUUUCCAUCGUGGACUAAAUGAGUCCAAGAAUUUAACAAGAGCACCUGGCCUCUAUAGGAAGAUAAAUCGGCAAAGUAGUUCAUCUUGCACAUUUGACCAGCCUCCUAUCUGAAUAGGUAAGGAAGACGAGUUUAAGAGUUUAUACCAUUACACAGUACGAAGCUUUCAUAAAACCAUACAUGUACCAUCUCUGUUAUCUAUAUGCAAAAUGAAUAUUACUGUGGAACUGUCAAAAAUGUGUUGGUCUUUUUGAAGUUCAAACACUAAUUGACAAGUCUAAACAGGGAUAAGCCCAAACCUACCAAUAUGGUAUAAGAUAAACCCAUUUCAAACUCAACAAAUGUAAAUUUUGGAUAGAGGUGGCUACAAUAUAAGACUACACCACUUACAGCAAACAAUUGUCAAUAUCAGUAACUUGAUGAAUUGCCCUUUUGGAAAGCAGGCAUUCAAACAGUAUACAGCCAUUUAAAUAUCACAUGAUACCUUUGUGCAAUGCCAAGUGCAUCGAGUAACUGAAGAAGGAAAAGAAUAAAAAAUAAAUGAAAACAAUGAGAUGCUUUUGCCAUCACGGUUUGUUGGGGUAGGGAAGAAAAUAUUUUCCAAGAUCCAAGUAAAGGACAGAUCCAAUCACUGAAGAGUUUCUCUUGAAAAUCAAAUAUUUUACAGUGACAUCUAUAAUCAUUUAUUAAGUUUCACUGUUAUGGAACUUAUUCUAUACAAGUGAUAUCUCUCCAGGUUUACUGUCUGUCACCUUCCCCUCUGUGCCUCCUCUUUUGUUUUUUUGUAUUACAUAAUUCAGGCACUUUAUGAAAUAAGUUUGACAGUCUCUCUGUCUUUUGGCUCAGAAUAGAAAAACAAAAGAAAACCCCACAUUCAUUUAUUUAUUCUUUUUGGAAUCAUGUAACAUCAGCUUUAGCUAAUAGGAUAGCAAAUGCCAAGUAUAUUAAGUUAUUAAAAGCCAAGUAACUUACAAAAUACCUCAGAUGAUCCUUUGCCAAGUCAUAAUUAGUAAGAUUGAUAGUUUGAAAUUGUGCAGAUUUCAUUCGGUUCACCAUGGCUCCUAGUUCAGUGUCAGUAUGAAGUCCCACACUGCAAUAUCAAAAGACCAAUUGGCUUUAACAAGAGAGCAAAACUUUUUACCACCACAUAAAGUGCAAGACUGCAUUUAGAAUAAGAUAUUGAAGGAAUGAAAGAACAUCUUACUUGCCUGUAAAGAACAAGAGCAUCUUCUCUACAUGAAUCAUAUCUGUAUUUGACCUCUGUAAUAUUCAUAGAGCCUACCUGCAAGGCUCUCCUGUGUCUAGAAUUUAGAAGUCAAACACUAAAAAUAAAGUAGAUUAAAGUAAUGUUUGCAGAUUACCAGUUUACAGAAUGUCUUAAAAACUCCCAUGCUCCUCUGGUAGAAUAGUUGCAAGCAUAGCCUCACGUUUCCGACCAACAUCAGCAAGUCCAGUUACCAACCUCAGCCUAUCAAAGUUCAUGUUUGCUCCACUGGUUAUUGCAACAACAUUUGUACCUUUCAAACCAUAGUAUUUGCAGUAUGCUUCUGCACCAGCUAGAGAGAGUGCACCAGCUGGUUCUAGAAUGCUCCUUUUCUCCGCAAACAUAUCCUGUAUUUGAAUGUAAAACUUUUGAGUGAUCCAACAUCAACUAUUUUGAAAUUAUACAUUAGUUGCAAGACAGCCAAAAAUUAACAAGUGGGCAAAAGCUAAUGUUCACAAUGUUAGAAAUAAUGAAACAACAUGAAACACAAUGUUAGUUGCAAGACAUGUUUGAAUGGUGUCUUUAUUAACGGUCAAAACUUGUUAAGUGUCAACCCUCCUAACAGCCAGAGACUCGAGAAUCAGAAACAGGAUUUAAGUAUAUUCACUGACAAUAUACAAUUGUAAACAAGACACACCUUAAUAGAUGCACAAAUAGCAUCACGACUGACAAGAACCACUCCGUCAACAAGUUCCCUGCACAAAUGAAAUGUCUCUUCUCCAACUACUUUUACAGCAACACACCUACAUGCUCUAGCAUCACAGCCACCGUCUUCUGCUUUUUUCUACAAUAAUGCUUCUCAAAGAUCCGGACUUGAACACACAUUCAGAUGUUAACCACUGGAAACUGGUUCAAUCACCAUAGCAGGUCAUUUAGAAAGACUAGAUUUGAAGAGUAGAGACAAGGAGAGUGACAAGAUGGGGUUGAGGCCAACAACGACAACGAAUUCGAAGGAGUGACGGUAGGAGGAGCUAAUCCGAAGCUUGAUGCAGUGCUUGAUGAAUGGGUUGGACGUGCUUGUUAUCCUUGAGGGCUACCCCAGGAAGGAAAGAGGAGACAAAGACCAGGAUGAGACUAGUUUCGUGUCCUCUUCCUGCUGGAAAGGACACGAAACUGCAAGUCGGACACCAUCAACAUCAUAGCCACCGUCUUCUCUUCUUGCUCUCCUUUGGAUGACACGACAGAAGUAACACCAGCUGUAGUCAUUGGGUUGGGCCAAAUAAGGUCCAUAUGUGGUUCGGCCUUGUUCUGAACCAUCUUCAAAUUAAUUAAUUUGCACAUGUCAUGUCUACAAAGCAUAGUAAUCACCUAUCCAUCUGGUCAAAUCUCAAAUCAAUCGAUCAAGUAUACGUAUAACUGUAUGAUAGGCUAGAAAUAUAUCACAUAUGGAUAAUAUUAUAUAAAUAACUUUUAUAAUGUGAAAGAGGACAAUAAGACAUGUUGAGGUGAUGACAGAGUCUAAAAGGUUUUCUUCUCUUUCAUCCUUACAAUAAAAUAAAAGACUCAAAUGCUUUAAAAAAAUCAUAUAUUUCUUAUAAUAAAUUAGACUAAGAUUCAAAUGAAUUAAUUAGUGAACCAGGCCAAUUGAUGUUUUGAUUCUCAGUUUAAACCAUCCAAGUGAUUGGUUUGAUCCGGAUUUUAUAACUGUUAUAGAUGCACAUCUUGAAAAAUAACAAUUUUUCAUUGUUCAUUUAAUUUAUUUGAUCUGAACCAAAAAUAAAAAAAUCCCUUGUUUGGCAACAGAAAUUUAAGCAAAACCUACACUACUCAAAAGGCUUAAAGGGCAUGUGGAUUAGUGUCCCCAGCAAUUGCGUGACACAUUUAUCACACAAUACAAAGCUCAUCACCUAGUUGUGGAGAGUAGGCCACGGAGAGAAUACUUAAGUCGAGAAUUGCAUGUGCAGAUUGAACAAAUAUUUUAAUAGCAAGUGUUUUACUAGGAAACUAAGUGCCAAGAUAUAAUGAAAGCAGCAACAUGUCAUAUCAAUAAUAAUUAUCUUAAAGGAACUCUUUGGGAUGGAUAUGAUCACCUGACUGUGUUUGCCAUGCCACCUGGAUCACUCAGAAAGAAGUUGACUUUGGAGGUAAAACAUGAAUUAUAUCCCUAGAAAUGGAUAUGAUGUCCAGGACGUAACGCCAUGUCUAUCUGCAAACAAGCUGACAUGAUAGCAAAACAUUAUACAAAUUUCCCCAAGGUCAACUAAACUCCACCACUACAAAUUAAAGAGAGUAUUGUUGCUCAAUUCAAGCCAGCCUUCGUCACACCUUAACCCAAUAUCCGAAGGUUAUCAAUUGGUAGGCUUAACUAUUGUACUGGUUAAUCACAAAUACCAAGAGUUUAAGCUUUUAGAAAAGGACCCUCUUCAGCAUCUCUUCUCAAGAGCAAACCAGUUAGGUUUGACGUGUGAAUGAAACCCAAAUGUUAUACUUGUGCAAGUCCAAAUAAUGUUUGAAUUACCUACUCUAUAUUUUUAAUUGAACACAGGAAAAGAGAGGACAGAUACAGGAUUCAAACUCAUGAUCUACUCUAAUUCUAUCUUCACGUUUGAAUUGUGUAAUCAUAAAUUUAAAAAUCUUAAAUUUUAGGAAAGAAAAGAAUCCAAUAUAUGCUUUAAGAUCCUGACAACAUUUACAAGUAGGUGAGCAUGCAAGAAACCGUUCAAUACUUACCAGACUUGCAAGCAUGCAAUCCACACUCUUGCUAGAUAAAGAGGCUAACAUUUACAAGAAGGUAAGCAUGAAUAAAAGAGAAUAAGAUGAUGCAUUUAUUAAUAACGUACAAGAUUAUUCUACCAGAGACCAUAUUGUUCUUUUUGGUUUGUGUGCUGCAAAAGCAAGAGAAGCAAAUCCACACUCUUGCUAGGUAAAGAUGCUAACAUUUACAAGCAGGUGAGCAUGGAUAAAAGAGAAUAUGAUGAUGCUUUUAUUAAUAACGUACAGGAUUAUUCUACCAGAGACCAUAUUGUUCUUUUUGGUUUGUGUGCUGCAAAAGCAAGAGAAGCAAAUGCACCAUAGCAGUGACAGUGUGCAGAGGAGGAAUAAAGGAAUAAUGUGUUCAUGAUUUAUGAAAUGUAGGCAUUGCAAGUGAGGUCCCUUGCCAAAUGAAUAGCAAAUGUAUCAUCAUGUUUAUGAUAAUGAUGAUGGCAAAAGUUUCAGGAGACAGGGCAGAGAGGCUCACUUAGCAGCAUCAUUGGAAGCAUCAACAGAUUCCUACUUGCAGAAGGUGGUGAAGGUGAGAAGAAAGCUAUUAUUGUAGAUCAAGUGAUGGUCAAACAUGUAGAACUCAGACCAGAAGAUAAGCAUAUACAAAAUAAGAUUCAAAAACCCAAUUCACAACGAAGCGCGUCACAAUGAUUGAUCAGCCAUUAAUCCAACGCAAACAUGAACCGCGUUUAAGAAACUUACAGGGUUUAUAACAUCGAUCCAAUAUUUGGACUUCGACUCCACAAGCUCUCCUCCGAUGAGAUUCCGGACCUUCUG
rnacentral:lncRNA from 1 species